UACGAAGGGGGCUAGCGUUGCUCGGAAUCACUGGGCGUAAAGGGUGCGUAGGCGGGUUCUUAAGUCAGAGGUGAAAUCCUGGAGCUCAACUCCAGAACUGCCUUUGAUACUGAGAGUCUUGAGUAUGACAGAGGUGAGUGGAACUGCGAGUGUAGAGGUGAAAUUCGUAGAUAUUCGCAAGAACACCAGUGGCGAAGGCGGCUCACUGGGUCAUUACUGACGCUGGAGGCACGAAAGCGUGGGGAGCAAACAGG
rnacentral:rRNA from 1 species